GUUAUGAAUCAAGGUCAAAAUCAGAUCCUAAGGCACAAAAUCAAGCCUUGAUGAUGAUUUUGAAGUUAUUUUGGUAGAUUAAAGAAAAGAAUUAGAGAGAAAACUUGAUAAAGUAUUAAUAGGCAUUAAUUUGGAGUGAUUUGGAUUUAUAUUAACUUUGUAAGAGCUUUGCAAAGUAAGGAUUUGUUUUGGGUGACUCUAGAUUUGUGAAAUAAAAAGAGAGAUACCUUUUGGUAAAUUUCAAAAAAUUGGCAAUAGAUCCAUAGAUAAAAUUUUGAAAGUUUGUCGAUUUAUAUGUAUUCAAUAUAUACUGAGAGUUUGAGCUUGAUCAAAGGAUUGAAUCGAAGAUUAUUGAGGUUUAAGUAGGUCAGGGUCUUGGAAAGUAGAGUUUUAGGUUGAGUGAAGGUUUCUAAAAUUUUUUGGAAUCUAUUUGUUGGAUUGGAAAGAAAAUUAUAUAUGUGAGUAGUAGACUUAUUUUCUAAUAUACAUGAGAAAUUUGAGAUCAAUUGAAUAGU
rnacentral:lncRNA from 1 species